CAGCGCCACGAGUGGUGACCACGUUUAUUGGGCCUAAAGCGUCCGUAGCCGGUUUGGAAAAUCCUUUGUGAAAUUGUGCGGCUUAACCGUACAACGUGCAAGGGACACUACCAGACUUGAGACCGGGAGGAGUCAGAAGUAUUCCAGGGGGAGCGGUAAAAUGUUAUAAUCCCUGGAGGACUACCUGUGGCGAAGGCGUCUGACCAGAACGGAUCUGACGGUGAGGGACGAAAGCCAGGGGAGCGAACCGGAUUAGAUACCCGAGUAGUCC
rnacentral:rRNA from 1 species